AAUGGUAGAUCUUGAUGAUUUUGUCUGUCUCUUCAAACACAAAUGGACUGGUCGAUAUGAGGCACAUCUAUGGACAAAAUGUGCUAGAACAAGUUCAAGAACAAGAAAGCUUGGCAAUGUGAAUGGAUUGUUUCGAAUCGUAUCUUAAUUGCAUUGUGGUUUUCUACAAUAAUUUGACAAUAGCUCUAUGUUACUGACUUGAAUCGUCAUUUUUCUCUUUUAUGCUCAUCUUGGUUGUCAACGUGUUGUUAAUCACACAGUUUAUCUGGGUAUGCAGCAAAACAGUACAGUACCUUUCCAUUAAAGUUUUGCUGGGUUACUUUUGUUUGUGGGUAGAGCAUAGUGCAAGAAAUAGGCUGAAAUUAUUGAAUAAAUGACAUCUCCACAAGAGCAUAUGAGGAUGAAGAGAUCGCAUCACACGGAUACGAUCUGGCUGCUCUCAAACACUGGGGUUUGGAAAAAACAUCAAAACUUCUUACAAACACAUAUACAAAAGAGUUGGAGGAAUGCAAAACAUAUUGAGAGAGGAGUAUGUUGAUUCUCUUAGAAGAAGGAGCAAUGGAUUUUCAAGAGGAAUCUCAAAAUAUCGUGGUGUUUCCAGUUUGGAACUCCCUGGUCUUUGACAAACAUUGCAUCAGGAACCUCGGAGCAAACAAGAGUUGUGAUUGGUCAUUGAUCUAUGCCAUAUUUUGUGGAGCUUCUUUGAUCCCCUAGAGAUGAUGUGCAGGAACAAGUUGUUCGGAUUCUCACAAAUCUAUUUGGUGAAAGCACCGAGUUUAGAGAUAUAGUCCUUAGUCAUGGUGGCAUUAUGCCACUCCUAGCUCAAUUGAAUGAUCAUGCAAAGUUGUCAGUGGUAAGAAAUGUUAUUUAUAAACUGCAUAAUAACUGUCGGGCACACCACAACCACCCUUUAAGCAGGUAUAAAAUUAUGAAAAGGGUUGUCUAUUACUUGAGAAUUUGAAUAAUUGUAAGACUUGAUGAUUAUAUAUGUAAGCCAUGGAAUGGAUGUACUAAUCCUUUCUGUAUCACUUAAAACUGUCUUCUUUGAUGCAAACAAAAUUAGCACUUCCAGUUCUUGGUUAUCUGAUUCAAAUAGAUGAUGAGGAAAUCUUGUCAGAUGCA